CGUAGUUGGGAGCAAAAAAUGAUAGCUCACAAUGUGGCCAAAUCUGUCAUGGAUUUCUGGCAUUCUGUUGAGGUCAAAAGCCAAAAAAUGGAUCUUGAAAGAUCUAAAAAGGAUUACACUAAUGCCAUUAAGGAGUAUGCCAUAAGAUUUCUGAAGUACAAUGAUUCAGAUGUUUCAAAAAAUCAAGCUGAGGUUCCAGUGACUCCAGACAGGAUAUCUGACUGGGGAAAUAUGGAUGCAUCUCUGGAGGACCAUUUGACAGAGGAGAACCUUUUCUAUCCUGUUCUGCUUGGAGCAAUGGAUGCUUACAG
rnacentral:misc_RNA from 1 species